CCCUGUAUCGAAAGUGACUAUGGUUAUUUGGUUGCCAGGUCAUUGAUAGUACAGGGAGAAUGAACUGAAAGUCUUUCCCGUGUUUGCUGGACUGCCUGUUCCUGCCAAACCCUGAAUCUUUCAGACA